UGCAGGAUCUGAAGAGGAUUCUUCAAGAAUUAACAAGCUCAGACAGUGAACUUCCCUCUGUGGAUCUCAGCAGCCAUGGUGGGAGAAAAUGCCCUUUAACAACCAUAAGGAAUGCAGGCUUCUCAGCCCAUGGAAACUAGUGAGCCCACAUCAAAGAGGCUACAGAACAAGAUGGAGAGCCUGCAAAACCUGGUGGAAUCAUCACAGAUAAAAAAACAAGCCAUGUCUCCAAUGAGCAGAACUCAGGAGGUGAAGACAAAGAAAUGCAAGGAAAAGGAGAGAAAGCUGUCCAAGUGAAGGCACUGUAUGCAUUAGU